rnacentral:RNase_P_RNA from 1 species
GGAGUCGGCCGGGCAGCCGCUGUGCUCACGCGCAGAGGAAAGUCCGGGCUCCACAGGACAGGAUGCCAGGUAACGCCUGGGGGGCGCGAGCCCACGGAAAGUGCCACAGAAAACACACCGCCGAUGGCCGCAUGGCACAGGCAAGGGUGAAAAGGUGCGGUAAGAGCGCACCGCGCGACGGGCAACCGCUCGCGGCACGGAAAACCCCAUCCGGAGCAAGGCCAAAUAGGGAAGCAGCGGGGCGACCCGCGCGUGCGGUCCGCACGGCUUCCGGGUAGGCCGCUUGAGGCGCGCGGCGACGCGCGUCCCAGAGGAAUGGCUGUCCACGACAGAACCCGGCUUACAGGCCGGCUCCUUUU